rnacentral:rRNA from 1 species
GAUGACCGCUGGCGGCGUGCCUAAUACAUGCAAGUCGAGCGAAGCGGGGACGGGUGAGUAACACGUGGAUAACCUCCUAUAAGACUGGGAUAACUUCGGGAAACCGGAGCUCAACCGGAUACUUAUUGAUGGAUCAUCGAUGCAUUAGCUAGUUGGUAAGGUAACGGCUUACCAAGACCAAGAUGCAUAGCCGACCUGAGAGGGUGGUCUGCCAAACGGUAACGGAGACACGGCCCAGACUCCUACGUGAGGCAUCAGGAGGGAAUUGUCCGCAAUGGGCGAAAGCCUUACGUAGCAACGCCGCGUGAGUGAUGAAGGUCUUCGUGUCGUAAAACUCUGUUAUUAGGGAAGCGGUACAUAAUCAGAAAGCCACGGCUAACUACGGGCCAGCAGCCGCGGUAAUAC